ACGAGACCUCCCCGGGGUGUCACACUGACUGCUGCUGGGAUACAGAUGACGGGGAUACACAGUCAUGCGCUGCGUUUCCCAGUCGUGGGGUUAUUCUCUUGGUUUCUGCCUGUGCCAGCGAAUCAGUCUCCCAUUUACUAAGGUGGCAAAGUUUCCUUCUAUGAAUGUAACUGUUGGCUUUUGUUUGUUGUUUAGUAGCUGUGUCCAACUCUUUGUGACCCCAAGGACUGUAGCCCACCAGGCUGCUUUGUCCAUGGGAUUUCCCAGGCAAAAAUACUGGAGUGGGUCACCAUUUCAUUCUCCAGUGGAUCUUCCUGGACCAGGGAUGAAACCUGCGUCUCCUGCACUGGCAGGCGAAUUCUUUACCACUGGGCCACCAGGGAAGCCCAUAAACGUAGUUCCGAGGAGCAGAAUCGCAAGAACCUGCCCGACAGCUCUCCAGAACUGCUGCACUUCUGUCAGGAAUUAAACAAGAGAACCAAAGCAAAUGUUUGAGGCGCUGCUCCUUCACCAACACUGACUGUUCUUUAAUCUUCUCCAGAAAACCUACGGAAUGGAAGUUGCAGAAAUGAGGCCCAGAGACAUCAGCAAGCCUCAGUUCACACGGUUAAAUAAGGAGCAGAGCAGAAAACCAGACGCGGAGUCUCAGACUCAAAGUUCAGCCACUGUUCUGUCAGUCCAGUCGGUGUCAGGCAACCGGCUUUGCUUGUCAUCAGGUUGAUAAGUAUUAUACUUUUGUUUCUGGG
ensembl:lncRNA